AAUCAAACCGUGUUACUAAAAAGAAAAGGAAAAACAAAAUAUUAUUUUAUAGGGUGUAUUAUAUGACUGAUUGCAUACAACAUUUUCGAAAAUUUGUCAAAUAGUCGUGAGAAACGUGUUGAAUACUCACUUUAUUAAACGCUAUGCGUACUUCUCCAAAGGUACCUGUUCCCAAAAUACCAUAAACUGCUAGUUCCAUUCUAACUUCUUGAGGUAAAUUGGGUAUAUCAGCACUGUUAUCUAUAUAACUGUAAACUAAAGACAACAUGUUAUUACAAAUUAUUAUUUUUUAAUGGACAUACAAUCUAUAAUGAACAAACUUAAGCAUGGACACAAGCCACCGUAGACACAUUCUUACAUAAAAUAAAGCUCAUCAUGUAAAAAAAAAAGGAGGGUGGACAGCAUCUGUUCUGUUGUGUACAGAUUGCCCAACGAGACAAUUUUCAAUGGAUGUCGACAUGGGACGGGUGCUAGUACACAGUAGUAUCAUUUUCAUAGAAAUUAAUUUUUUUUUUUUUUUUAAAU